rfam:Caenorhabditis elegans chromosome IV
CCAACGGCCCUCUUUAGGGCCACAAAUGAUAUGAAUUCUUAAUUUGU